rnacentral:rRNA from 1 species
AUGCAACGCGAAAACCUUACCACCUUUGACAUGUACGGAAUCCUUUAGAGAUAGAGGAGUGCUCGAAAGAGAGCCGUAACACAGGUGCUGCAUGGCUGUCGUCAGCUCGUGUCGUGAGAUGUUGGGUUAAGUCCCGCAACGAGCGCAACCCUUGUCAUUAGUUGCUACGAAAGGGCACUCUAAUGAGACUGCCGGUGACAAACCGGAGGAAGGUGGGGAUGACGUCAAGUCCUCAUGGCCCUUAUAGGUGGGGCUACACACGUCAUACAAUGGCUGGUACAAAGGGUUGCCAACCCGCGAGGGGGAGCCAAUCCCAUAAAGCCAGUCGUAGUCCGGAUCGCAGUCUGCAACUCGACUGCGUGAAGUCGGAAUCGCUAGUAAUCGUGGAUCAGCAUGUCACGGUGAAUACGUUCCCGGGUCUU